rnacentral:lncRNA from 1 species
CUCCUCCUCCCAUAUUCACCCCUCUCCCCCCCCCUCCCGUCGCUCUCUCUCUCCACUUUUAGCGUCCCAUCUCAUCCCAUCUUUCUCCUUCUUCUUCCUUCUCUUCGACAUGCGAGUGCGCAAUUCAGUCUCCGCUCUAAGCAACUGAGCUAUUUGUAAGAGAGGAGGCUGAUCGAUCGAGCGAGCGAGCGAGCGAGCGAUCGAGCUAGCGAUCGAUCGAGCGAGGUAAUUAUUCGAUCGAUGGACACCGGGCCGGGCCCCUCAUCUUCUACCAUCUCAUCAUAUGAGUUUAAUAUCAAGUUCUUCGUCGACCUAGCCUCCGGGGCCGACGCCGCGGCGAGCUGGGGAGAGGCCGGGGUCGUCGACGGCUACUUCUGCUAAGUGGCGGCGGAGGAGGAACGCAAACGCCGCACCCGCCACGCGCGAACGCGAAGAAGAAAAGCAUCCCUUAAGGCGCCCGGAACCGGACCGAGAGCGCUUGGAGCGCCUCCAUCUAGGCCUGCCGCGCCCGCCGCUUCCCCAACCUGAGCCCAGCCGGCGGCAAGAGGAGCAUCCGCCGCGCCUCCGCCGGCUACUCCCGCAGCUCGCUAGGGGUGCGAACGAAGUCCCCCGUUCGUGUUCCCCGGCCCCCCAAGCCCACCGGCUUCUUCCCCGUCCUCGGCCGCACCUGGAAGCAGAACGGCUUGACCAGAUCCAUGAACUCUUUGAGUUAUUGCACGCGGGGCGACGUGGCGCGGUCGCAGUCGCCACCGGACACCAAGGCGUCCAUGACGUCCUUGCACAAGGUCAGGGCGGCGAAGACGCUGAGCAUGGACGAGCCGACGACGCUUCGGCCGCGGACGACGCCUCCGCCGACUGGCCCUAGCGACGGUCGGGGCGGACUNNNNNNNNNNNNNNNNNNNNNNNNNCUCUAACUAGGAAAAAUUCUAGAAUGCAUACGUGUAUUUAAGUGACGUGGCGUAACGAAGCCAAUCAAAUUAAUUCUUUUAGAAUAAUGUCCACAAGUUAUAAAAAUAAUAUUUUAUUGUACUUUGUUGUAUUGAAAGAAAAGAAUAUGAUUGGGCUUGUUAUUGAUGAUCGUGGUGCAAGGUACAGUGUAGAAAUUCCUCCUUAACGUAAUAUAUACAAACUAGGCUGGAUAACUUAUUAAUAAUUCAAGCUUGAUUGGUAUUGAUUAGAAUUUGGCCUGUUUGGAUUGAAGGGAUGUGCAGUAGAAUAAUAGUGAUCUCUAGAUGAUCUAACGGAUAAAAAUAGUCAAAGCGGUCUAUAGAUCUAAUGGCAGAGAACUUGGUAGUACCAACAUAUUUGAUGUUAUCGAUAAUAUUAUAGCGCGAUCGUCAUAGUAUAUAUAUAUAAUAUUAUAUGGGUCCGGCUAUUAUACGUAUUAUGAGUAGAUCGCCCUCGUACUCAUUAAGUUGGUUUCAAUGAUAGAGCUCUGAAUCAACGAUACCACAGCCGUUAAACGUUAUUUUCACAGUAUUUAAAUUUCUAAGAAAUCAAAUUUUAUAAAUUUUGACAUCUUUUACCUUACGAUCAAGAGUUCACAAAAUUGAAAUUUUAACGGCGGUAUGCGGUAUACUUCAGUUUAAACAGUGUAAAAGAAAUGGAAUUGUUGAAUUUUGUGAUAAGAAAGAAUUCUAUUCACUAUAUAGAUAAAAUCAAUAAUCUGAUUCUUGGCAAUUGCAAGGUAUCCAAUCAUUUUUUUAGGACGUCUGUUCGAUUUUGACCGUUCAUUUUAUGCCCACUUAAUGGCACUGUUAUUAUGAUCGAAAAUUUAUGAAUUAUUUCUAGAAGUUUCAAAUAACUCUAGAUCAUAUUAACAAGUGGUGACUUCGAUUUGGAACGCCUAUCAUUGAAAACAACUUAUGAUACAGAGGGCUCCAAUACUACAUAAUUAGAUAGGUAUCAUGGCCUAGUAAUAUAGUAGUCUGUGUGCGUCUAUUAGGAGCACGGAGACCUCCGUUCUCCUAAGCCGUUUUUGAUAAGGGAGUCCUCCGAGAUCAACGAUCAACUCGGUAGACUUGAUUUAGCCAUAUUUGAAUGUAUCUAGAAAAUAAAUUUUUGUAUUUUUUUAUAUCAUAUUACCUAAUGUGAAUCGAAAGGUGGUUCAAAGAUCAACGGCUGAUAAAUAAUAAACUUACAAAAAGUUGGUGAUAUAGCAUGGAAAAUUCGAUCAAACAUCAUUGAAUCUGCUUAAAUAAUAGUGAUAAAGAAUUUUCUAUCAAAAUUCAUCUGAUUGAAUACUUUUACAACCAUUUAAACUUGCAAACAGGAUUAUACAAUCAACCCCAUUAAAAAUUGUUUGAUUUAACCUUUCGAUUCGCUAGAAAAGAUACCAAAAAAAUCACAAAAAUUUUUCUAGAUAGUUAAAUUACGUAGAUCAUACUUAACGGAGCCUGAUCGGUCGAUUCGGAAGUUCCAUCAUCAGAUAAAUGGCUUAGGAGAGCACGAAAGACCUCGCGUGCUCAUAAGCACACAGAUCAAGAUCUAGAUAUAUUAUAUAUAGUUAUAUAUUAUAUAUAUAUAAUAUAUAUUAUUAUAUUAUAUAGUAUAUAAUUAUUACUUUCUUUUUCUUUCCUUGUAUCCAAUUACUUGUUGGAAAUCGAAUACACUCUUUAACUGUAAGAAGGUAUCACUAGACUGUGUCAGUAUUAGAACAGAAGGUUCUAGCUUUCUAACCACCAUGGGCUUGUAUCCAUACACUAGCCGUAACACAAAACCAUUUUAGUGUCUUCUCUCUAAGAAAACCAAGGUGUAUUACCUAAAAAGGUAAAUACCUUGUGUUUUUUUACUUUUUUUGUUUUUGAGGUAAAUUAAGUUAAACUUAAAGUAGCCGGAGAAAUUAAAUAUAGGUAUAUCAAGUAUUAAUGUAGUAUUAAAUGAAUUAUAAAAAUACGGAUCGCUAUGCUUUCUAUUUUAAUGUAUUCGCCAGGAAAUUCGUUAUCUGUAUACAGCUUUUAUUCUUAUAGCGCGACUCAAAUUAUAUAUAUAAGUAUAUAUAUAUAUAUAGUAUAUAUAUAAUUCUAAUAAUGGUAAUUUUUUUUAACUAUACAACUAAUUGAGGAGCCAAACUACUAGAUGAGAAAGCCAUUUGGAUUCUUGUAUUGUUUAAUAUUAGUACGAAAGAAAAAAAAAAACAAACUCAUGAUGACUAUAUAUAUAGUAAUAAUACUAUAUACUAUAAGUAUAGUAAUGGAGUUGAUCUAUGAUACUUUAUAAGUAUUCAUCCCGCCAUGUUGCUAUCCCGUUUUUAGCUCAUUGGAUUACUUUCUUGAUUACAAAUUAGUCCUGGAUCAAACACUAUUCACACUACACCACUUACCACCAUCAUCGUCUAACCUCACAGUUUCUCCAUUCCAAGGGCGAAAACACACAAGUAUUCCACUUGGGUUGAUACUUCGUAAAAGCAUUCUAGCAUUACUCUCUCUCGCUCUCUCUCUAUUACUAUAUAUAUAUAUAUAUAUCAUAUAUAGGGCAUGUUUGGUUCGAAGUCGAGUCAGGAAUCUGAAUCGGAAUCAAAAUUAAGGUGGAAUCGGAAUCGAAUGACCAUUACUUAAUUCCGUUUGCUUCACCCCAAAAUCAGAAUAAAUAAAUCAUUCCUAACAUUAUCUUGAUAAUAUUAUUAUUUUAAAUCUAAAUUAAAUAUUUAAAAUUUUAACAUCAAAAUUUUGAAAUAAUGUCUAUAUUUAAAUCUAUUUUUUUUAAAAAUAAACUUGAAGUUGAGUGGAUAAUUCAAAAUUGAAACUAAAUUUUGAUUAUCUCAAAUUAAAUCUUAAAAUUCAAUUUAAUUUUAAUUUGAAUAUAAAAUUUAAUUUAAGGUUUGAAAUUAAAUAUUUGAUUAAUAACCUUUUAUAUAAAUUAAAAUUUAAUUUAAAUUCAAGAUUUCAUAAGUUUAGAUUCAGAAUACUUAAAUUAAAAUUUUAAUUUUUAUUUAAGUUCAAAUUAAAUUUAAAAUGCUUUAUAUUUAAUUUUGUAAAUUUAACUAAUAUUUAUUAAAAAAAAUAAAAAAAUAAAUUUUUUUUAAUUCCGAAUAAAAUAUCCUUCCGUCGAUUCAAUUUUCAAUCGGGCCGCGAUUGAAAAAAGAGGCUGAUUGGGGGAUUCCAUUCGCACUCGGGAAUCGGAAAUCGGGAAAUGGGACUCGCGCGUACAAACACCCACAAACGAUUUACGCCCAUUCCGAUUCCGAUUCCAGGAUGACACAUAGAAGCGAACCAAAACACGUCCAUAGAGUAUGAGCUAGACUACUGUAAAAGUAUUCAGCCCAAGUGAUACUUGUGUUUUUUACCCUUGGAUGGCAGAGAUUGAGUUGAGGAUUAUGGUGGUAGGUGAGUUGUAGCUGGUGGUAGGUGGAUAGAUGUUUGAUCCAAGGACUAUUAGAUAAUUCAAAAAAGUAGACCAAGGCUAAAAUACACAAGUAUCACUUGGUGAUACUUGUAAAAGUAUUCUAGCCUAAUCAUAUAUAUAUAUACUAUAUUAUAUAUAUAUAUAUAUAUAUAUAUAUAGUUUACCCUCUUUAAAAUUCGUGGACUCAUCUAGAAGUUACUAGGUAUGACAUGGGGCGGUAAAACAUAUAUUUGGCUUCUGUACAGUGCUACGCGAGAAAAAAUAAAAGCAAUUUCUGUUUCCUUUAUUGUUGCCGUAUAUGUAUACAGUGUUAAUAUACAUACAUACGUUGCAAUAUUCAUCCACCCCAGUCACGUCCUCACCAUGCGGGGGCCACACGUGAAUUCCCCCAUCACCUUCACUUCCUUCACCUCCUAAUCCUCUCCACAUCCCCCUCCUCCUCCCAUAUUCAGCCCUCCCCCUCCGUCGCUCCUCUCUUCCCACUUUUAGCGUCCCAUCUCAUCCCAUCUUUCUCCUUUUCUUCCUUCUCUUCGACAUGCGAGUGCGCAAUUCAGUCUCCGCUCUAACAACGACUGAGCUAUUUGUAAGAGAGGAGGGCUGAUCGAUCGAUCGAGCGAGCGAGCG